CUACGGGUGGCAGCAGUGGGGAAUAUUGGACAAUGGGCGAAAGCCUGAUCCAGCCAUGCCGCGUGUGUGAAGAAGGCCUUCGGGUUGUAAAGCACUUUCAGUGGGGAAGAAAGCCUUGGGGCUAAUACCCUCGAGGAAGGACAUCACCCACAGAAGAAGCACCGGCUAACUCCGUGCCAGCAGCCGCGGUAAUACGGAGGGUGCGAGCGUUAAUCGGAAUUACUGGGCGUAAAGCGCGCGUAGGCGGUCUGAUAAGCCGGUUGUGAAAGCCCCGGGCUCAACCUGGGAACGGCAUCCGGAACUGUCAGGCUAGAGUGCAGGAGAGGAAGGUAGAAUUCCCGGUGUAGCAGUGAAAUGCGUAGAGAUCGGGAGGAAUACCAGUGGCGAAGGCGGCCUUCUGGACUGACACUGACGCUGAGGUGCGAAAGCGUGGGUAGCAAACAGGAUUAGAUACCCCGGUAGUC
rnacentral:rRNA from 1 species